rnacentral:misc_RNA from 1 species
UAUGAAGUUUCUGGUACUGUUGAGGUUUGUAUUCGAAAACAAAUCCCCCUGGAGUUUGUUAAGUGCCAAAUGGAAAGAAUUAUAUGUAAAUGUGACAUAUGAUGGCUUCAAAUUUGUAGAUCCAUAGAAGCGUGUAUUCUACAUUUCUGUGACUAUGAGACCAUAUUUAACGGAAUGAAAUCAAUUUCAUUCUGGAAGAUUGGUAAAACAAUCAAGUAGGAGAG